rnacentral:rRNA from 1 species
AAUUUUGGACAAUGGGGGAAAGCCUGAUCCAGCCAUCCCGCGUGUAUGAUGACGGCCUUCGGGUUGUAAAGUUCUUUUGGCAGAGCAGCAAAGUUAUCUCCUAAUACGAGAUACUGCUGACGGUAUCUGCAGAAUAAGCACCGGCUAACUACGUCCCAGCAGCCGCGGUAAUACGUAGGGUGCAAGCGUUAAUCGGAAUUACUGGGCGUAAAGCGAGUGUAGGCGGUUCGGAAAGAAAGAUGUGAAAUCCCAGGGCUCAACCUUAGAACUGCAUUUUUAACUGCCGAGCUAGAGUAUGGCAGAGGGGGGUAGAAUUCCACGUGUAGCAGUGAAAUGCGUAGAUAUGUGGAGGAAUACCGAUGGCGAAGGCAGCCCCCUGGGAUAAUACUGACGCUCAGACACGAAAGCGUAGAGAGCAAACA